GAUGAAGAACGUAGCGAAAUGCGAUAAGUAAUGUGAAUUGCAGAAUUCAGUGAAUCAUCGAAUCUUUGAACGCACAUUGCGCCCAUUAGUAUUCUAGUGGGCAUGCCUGUUCGAGCGUCAUUAAGUCCACUUAAGCCCUGCUUAGUGUUGGGAGACUGCUCCAGCGGUGCUACCCUGUAGCUACCCUGCAGCUCCUCAAAGACAGCGGCGGAGUUGUGGUAUCCUCUGAGCUUAGUAACUUGUUCAAGCUUUCGAGUACACCACUUCCCCUGCCGUAAAACCCUUAAUUUUUAAUGGUUGACCUCGGAUCAGGUAGGAAUACCCGCUGAACUUAAGCAUAUCAAUAAGCGGAGGA
rnacentral:misc_RNA from 1 species